rnacentral:rRNA from 1 species
GACGUAGGGCGCGAGCGUUGUCCGGAUUUAUUGGGCGUAAAGAGCUCGUAGGCGGCUUGUCGCGUCGACUGUGAAAACCCGCGGCUCAACUGUGGGCUUGCAGUCGAUACGGGCUAGCUAGAGUUCGGUAGGGGAGACUGGAAUUCCUGGUGUAGCGGUGAAAUGCGCAGAUAUCAGGAGGAACACCGGUGGCGAAGGCGGGUCUCUGGGCCGAUACUGACGCUGAGGAGCGAAAGCGUGGGGAGCGAACAGG